rnacentral:rRNA from 1 species
CCUGAUGCAGCAACGCCGCGUGAGGGAUGACGGCCUUCGGGUUGUAAACCUCUUUUAGCAGGGAAGAAGCGUGAGUGACGGUACCUGCAGAAAAAGCGCCGGCUAACUACGUGCCAGCAGCCGCGGUAAUACGUAGGGCGCAAGCGUUAUCCGGAAUUAUUGGGCGUAAAGAGCUCGUAGGCGGUUUGUCGCGUCUGCUGUGAAAUCCCGAGGCUCAACCUCGGGCCUGCAGUGGGUACGGGCAGACUAGAGUGCGGUAGGGGAGAUUGGAAUUCCUGGUGUAGCGGUGGAAUGCGCAGAUAUCAGGAGGAACACCGAUGGCGAAGGCAGAUCUCUGGGCCGUAACUGACGCUGAGGAGCGAAAGGGUGGGGAGCAAACAGGCUUAGAUACCCUGGUAGUCCACCCCGUAAACGUUGGGAACUAGUUGUGGGGUCCAUUCCACGGAUUCCGUGACGCAGCUAACGCAUUAAGUUCCCCGCCUGGGGAGUACGGCCGCAAGGCUAAAACUCAAAGGAAUUGACGGGGACCCGCACAAGCGGCGGAGCAUGCGGAUUAAUUCGAUGCAACGCGAAGAACCUUACCAAGGCUUGACAUAUACGAGAACGGGCCAGAAAUGGUCAACUCUUUGGACACUC